GUGGGGAGAGCAUAAGGGUGCUAAAAGAAACCUAGAGAGAGUUGGUUUUAGCUGUGGUUCUUACUGUUUGCCUGGCAAGUAGGAGGUGGAGGAGGAGAAGGAGGUAGGCUGCACAAGUAAAGGUGUGCUAUAGGGCUGUUGGAUUUGCAAAAUGAGCAGGACCUGGAGCUCUGUGAUGGACUGCAGUGUCCUGCACGGCUGCGGCACAGCCAGGCCCUGAGAGCAGCGGGUACGUGGGGACAUGCAAUUUCCUUGGAGAAGGUUGCAGCGCCACGGGAGCUACCAUGGCAGGAACACCCUCCUUGCAAAGAUCAGUAUGUUUGCUGCCUGCAUGUUUUAUGGGUUCAGAUUUGAUCCUUUGAAAGGAUCCUAAACAAAGGAGGGCACUGAGUAGCCAGCUCUGGGGUCAAUGCAAGUGGAAGAUGCA